CCAUUUCCCCAAGCGUGGCGAGCGAAGCGGAAGUGACGCAUCCCAGGUAGUUCCGCCUUCUUGCUGCUGCAGGAGCCGUGUGGCUGCCGAGCCAAGCUGGUGUAGUGGCGAUUGACCUUUGUCUCGUUGGAAGGAAAUAGCACAUCUUCCUACAGCCUGCUUCCUGCCGCAUAACACACUUCCGGUCUCAGCCCGGACGGGAUGCUGCUCCUGCUGCUGCUGCUGCUACCCCUCUGCCGGGCAGUAGAGGUUAAGAGACCUCGGGGCGUUUCCCUAAGCAACCAUCACUUCUAUGACGAAUCUAAGCCUUUCACGUGUUUGGACGGCACAGCCACCAUCCCGUUCGAUCAGGUGAACGAUGAUUACUGCGACUGCAAGGAUGGCUCCGAUGAGCCUGGCACAGCCGCUUGUCCCAAUGGCAGCUUCCACUGCGCCAACACUGGGUACAAGGCCUUGUACAUCCCCUCCAGCCAGGUUAAUGAUGGGGUGUGUGACUGCUGUGACGGGACGGAUGAGUACAACAGCGGCAGCGUCUGCGAGAACACCUGCAGAGAGAAGGGUCGUAAGGAAAGAGAGUCCUUACAGCAGCUGGCCGAGGUCACCCGAGAGGGGUUCCGCCUCAAGAAGAUUCUGAUUGAGGAGUGGAAGACAGCCCGGGAGGAGAAGCAGGGAAAGCUGCUUGAGCUUCAGGCUGGAAGGAAGUCUCUGGAAGACCAGGUAGAGACGCUGCGGGCAGUGAAGGAAGAAGCAGAGAAGCCAGAGAAGGAGGCCAAAGACAAGCACCGGAAGCUGUGGGAAGAACAGCAAGCCGCUGCCAAGGUCCGGCGGGAACAGGAGCUGUCGGCCAGUGCCUUCCAGGAACUGGAUGACAACAAGGACGGGGUGGUCUCGAUGUCUGAGCUACAGACUCACCCGGAGCUGGACACAGACGGCGACGCAGUGCUAUCCCCAGAGGAAGCCCAGGCCCUUCUCAGUGGGGACACACAAAUUGAUGCUACUUCCUUCUAUGACCGUGUCUGGGCCGCCAUCAGGGACAAGUACCGCUCGGAGGUGCUGCCCACGGAGCCUUCCCCGUCUGCUCUGGAUGAGACCGAGCCCAAAGAGGAGCACCCACCGGUGUUGCCACCCACAGAGGAGGAGGAAGAAGAGGAGCCAGAAGAAGAGGAAGAGGAGGAAGAAGAGGAGGAGGAGGUGCAGGGGGAGAAACCCAAGGAGGCCCCAGCCCCUCUACAGCCCCCACAGCCAGCUAGCCCCAUCGAGGAUGAGAAGAUGCCACCUUACGAUGAGGAGACACAGGCUGUCAUCGAUGCUGCACAGGAGGCCCGGAAUAAGUUUGAGGAAGCCGAGCGGUCCUUGAAAGAGAUGGAGGAGUCCAUCAGGAGUUUGGAACAAGAGAUCUCCUUUGACUUCGGCCCCCAUGGGGAAUUCUCAUACCUCUACAGCCAGUGCUACGAGCUCACCACUAAUGAGUACGUCUACCGACUUUGCCCCUUCAAACUGGUCUCUCAGAAACCCAAACAUGGGGGCUCUCCGACCAACCUUGGCACAUGGGGCUCGUGGGCUGGCCCCGACCAUGACAAGUUCAGUGCCAUGAAGUACGAGCAGGGAACAGGCUGCUGGCAGGGCCCCAACCGCUCCACCACAGUGCGCCUCUUGUGUGGCAAAGAGACUGUGGUGACUAGUACCACAGAGCCCAGUCGCUGUGAGUACCUCAUGGAGCUGAUGACACCAGCCGCCUGCCCAGAACCGCCGCCAGAGGUGCCCACUGAUGGAGACCAUGAUGAGCUGUAGCCUGGGUCUCUCUCUACACAGCCCUUACUCUCUGGAACUCACUGUAUAAACCAGAACCUCAAGGCCUGAGACUCACCCUGCAGUCUGUGGACCAAAGCCUGCCCACCCCGGGAUCCCUGGCUGUCCUCCGGGUAGCAGGAACCCUGUGGGGCUCUAAGCCCUGCUUCUGGCCCAGGCUAGCCGAGUCAUCCAUGUUCCUGAGGCCCCAGCGGCCUCCAGAGAUGGAUAAAGGAGCUCACCUUCCUUGGAUUUCUGGGUGGGAGUUAAUCCCCGCCCCACCUCACCCCUGCCUCCCCAGCUGGUGGGAGAUGAAUGGAUGACUUGAUGUGUGUGACCUCAGAACAAUAAAUGUGACUCACCCACA